UGCCUCAAAGAGGGGGUCAACAGUUGGAAACGACUGCUAAUACCGCAUAAGCCCACGGCUCGGCAUCGAGCAGAGGGAAAAGGAGCAAUCCGCUUUGAGAUGGCCUCGCGUCCGAUUAGCUAGUUGGUGAGGUAACGGCCCACCAAGGCGACGAUCGGUAGCCGGACUGAGAGGUUGAACGGCCACAUUGGGACUGAGACACGGCCCAGACUCCUACGGGAGGCAGCAGUGGGGAAUAUUGCACAAUGGGGGAAACCCUGAUGCAGCGACGCCGCGUGGAGGAAGAAGGUCUUCGGAUUGUAAACUCCAGUUGUUGGGGAAGAUAAUGACGGUACCCAACAAGGAAGUGACGGCUAACUACGUGCCAGCAGCCGCGGUAAAACGUAGGUCACAAGCGUUGUCCGGAAUUACUGGGUGUAAAGGGAGCGCAGGCGGGAAGACAAGUUGGAAGUGAAAUCUAUGGGCUCAACCCAUAAACUGCUUUCAAAACUGUUUUUCUUGAGUAGUGCAGAGGUAGGCGGAAUUCCCGGUGUAGCGGUGGAAUGCGUAGAUAUCGGGAGGAACACCAGUGGCGAAGGCGGCCUACUGGGCACCAACUGACGCUGAGGCUCGAAAGUGUGGGUAGCAAACAGGAUUAGAUACCCUGGUAGUCCACACCGUAAACGAUGAUUACUAGGUGUUGGAGGAUUGACCCCUUCAGUGCCGCAG
rnacentral:rRNA from 1 species